rnacentral:rRNA from 1 species
GAUGAACGCUGGCGGCGUGCCUAAUACAUGCCAGUCGAGCGAACAGAUGAGGAGCUUGCUCCUCUGACGUUAGCGGCGGACGGGUGAGUAACACGUGGAUAACCUACCUAUAAGACUGGGAUAACUUCGGGAAACCGGAGCUAAUACCGGAUAAUAUAUUGAACCGCAUGGUUCAAUAGUGAAAGACGGUUUUGCUGUCACUUAUAGAUGGAUCCGCGCCGCAUUAGCUAGUUGGUAAGGUAACGGCUUACCAAGGCAACGAUGCGUAGCCGACCUGAGAGGGGGAUCGGCCACACUGGAACUGAGACACGGUCCAGACUCCUACGGGAGGCAGCAGUAGGGAAUCUUCCGCAAGGGGCGAAAGCCUGACGGAGCAACGCCGCGGGAGUGAUGAAGGUCUUCGGAUCGUAAAACUCUGUUAUUAGGGAAGAACAAAUGUGUAAGUAACUAUGCACGUCUGGACGGUACCUAAUCAGAAAGCCACGGCUAACUACGU